UCGCCGAUAUGAAAAGUAACAUGGCGUAUGAAACUAUCAUGCAUUGGACGUAAAAAAAUUGAUAUACAAGAUUUUUAUUUCUAGUGAGCCACCAUCGAAUACAUAUUCAAAUGGUAGAGCCAACUGAAUGCAUAAAAGUCCAAAUAAUAAAUGUGUUAGUGCUGGUCAAUUACAUUUUUCUUCACUCGUUUUUCUCGUGUACUUCAAAUCUUUUGAAUAGUAUUGCCAGUCAACAUAGACAAUUUCAACUAGCUCCUGUACGCCCUCCUCGUAAUCAUCCAUGAAAAGAGCAUUCAUGGCCAACCAAGCUAGCUAGACCUGAGGGGCAUAUUAGUUAAUGAAUGUAUAUUUUCUGUACAAUUGAUGUACAAGUUCAUAGUUCCUCGUUUGAGUUCUUGGAAUCCAAGGAUGAUUAAUUCUACUAAAUUCUAGCGUUGUUCAGUGAAUAUUCUUCAAGCUGAUUCGCCUAUUUUUACAAUAAGAAUAUGACUUUUCUCGAUCUAAAAUCACUCACAUUCCAAAAGGAAAAAAAAAAAAAAAAUUCUCCUGUAUGCACUAAUUGUGAAAUAAUAUUAAAUGGCUGCAAUACAUUAAAGCAAAAGUCGAUAAUGUUUGUAAAGAUAUUUAGUUGUAAAAUGUUACAAUUAGAGGUGUCAAUUCAUAUAAUCAUAUUGUGAUUGUGUUGUGUCUUAUUCAUGUCAUGUCAAAUUUAAGUAAAUAUGGAUAUAACCCAUUUAUUAGUUGUGUUGAAAUAUCAAGACACAAUGUAACACAUUCAUUAAUCAUGUUAAUUGUAUUGACCUGUUUAAUAUGUUUAAUACAAAAAAAUUAAAAGUUAAC
rnacentral:lncRNA from 1 species